rfam:Fusarium oxysporum f. sp. raphani 54005 unplaced genomic scaffold supercont1.26, whole genome shotgun sequence.
GCGUAAUUGGUUUAGUGGUAAAAUUCUCCGUUGCCAUUCGAGUAACGUCGGGGAGCCCAGGGUUCGAUUCCCUGAUUACGCA